rnacentral:rRNA from 1 species
CANUGGGGGAACCCUGAUGCAGCGACGCCGCGUGGAGGAAGAAGGUCUUCCGAUUGUAAACUCCUGUUGUUGGGGAAGAUAAUGACGGUACCCAACAAGGAAGUGACGGCUAACUACGUGCCAGCAGCCGCGGUAAAACGUAGGUCACAAGCGUUGUCCGGAAUUACUGGGUGUAAAGGGAGCGCAGGCGGGAGAACAAGUUGGAAGUGAAAUCCAUGGGCUCAACCCAUGAACUGCUUUCAAAACUGUUUUUCUUGAGUAGUGCAGAGGUAGGCGGAAUUCCCGGUGUAGCGGUGGAAUGUGUAGAUAUCGGGAAGAACACCAAUGGCGAAGGCAGGUCUCUGGGCCGUUACUGACGCUGAGGAGCGAAAGCGUGGGGAGCGAACAGGAUUAGAUACCCUGGUAGUCCAAGGGCGAAUUC